rnacentral:misc_RNA from 1 species
CCAACUUGGUCAUUUAGAGGAAGUAAAAGUCGUAACAAGGUUUCCGUAGGUGAACCUGCGGAAGGAUCAUUCGAAAAGAGUCAUGCCGUCUUCGGCGACCCGAAUGGCCCACCUCCUACGGUGUGCUUUUCGUGUGCAACUGUUGAAGACCUGGUCCUCGAUCGGUCUUCUAAUAUAUAUUUUUUACACACAAGAGCUGAAAAAUGGCUCGAUUGUCUGAAAGAUCUGAAAAGGCUUGGUUCUCGAAUCAGUCUUUGAAGAAAUUCGUAAACACAACUUUCAACAACGGAUCUCUUGGCUCUCGCAUCGAUGAAGAACGCAGC